GUAUGCGUGUGUGUAUUUGUACGUGUGUAUGAGUACGCGCGUGUAUGUGGAAGUUGAUUGACUUAUUCAUAUUUUUUAUUUUAUAGGUGCAAGAGCUGCAGGAGCUACUUGAAGAGCCGCAGCUCGAUGUACAGUCGGAGCAGAAGUUCGAUAUACAGUCAGAGCUGCAGCCCGAUCUAAAGUCAGAGCCGCAACUCGAUGUACAGUCGGAGCAGAAGCUCGAUCUACAGUCAGAGCUGCAGCCCGAUCUGAAGUCAGAGCCGCAGGUAGAUCUACAAUCGAAGCUCGAUGUACAAUCAGAGUUGCAGCUGGAGCCGCGGUCGAACCUGUACUCGGAGUCGCAGCUCGAUCUACAGUCAGAGACGCAGCUCGAUCUACAAUCAGAUUUGUAGCUGGAGCCGCGAUCGAAGCAAGCUUUUGAACAACAUCAUCAGGAACAGCAGUAUUCACCUACAAAUGCCACCACCAUGAUUACCACCACCAAUUAUAUGAGUAUCGAUGAUGAUACUUUUCUCAACGUUUGAUCUCGAAUAUUAUAAUGGAGUAUCAAAAAUGCCUGUUGGAAUUAGUAUAGAUGAAACCAACGAAUAUGAUGAGAUAUUGAAGUCACUCCCUACACCAUCCGCUCCGGAGCCAUGUUCAUUAUCGAAGUCUGAAUCUUGUCCAAAUCCCUCCGUCCCAAUAACACCUUCAUAUAUAACACCAGCAUUAUCCUCCCCGAUUUUAUAUAACGCACUAACAAACCCCCGUAAGCCAAUAUUAAAGUCAAUAAUCCCAGUAAACAUUCCUCUUCCUUUUAAUAAAAAACAAUUUCUAUCAAAACCAGUAACAAAAAGCUCUCCUAUAAAUAUUCCUCUUCCUAAUAAUAAAAAAGAAUUAUUGAUAGCCGGCUGCUCACCUAUAAGCAGUUCAUCCGAUUUUUCAGACGAUGAAAAUGAGGAGAAAUUUUUUACUCCUAAAAAACAAAUCCCUGCCCUUAUACCUAUUCCCAUUGUAAGUCCACCUUAUCAAAUUCCUAAAAAACGUAGCAGAGUGUCAACAAACUCAUCAUCUUCGUCGGCAUCAUCGUCAUCGACGUCGUCGCCGUCGUCUUCAACAAAAUCAUCAUCAUCACGAAGGGCAAUUGAAGCCAUAAAAAAUGAUAUGGCCGAAUUCAUAAAAUUUAAAAAGAAAAGUUUAUCUGUGUGUGCGUGUGUGUGUGUGUACAGA